rnacentral:rRNA from 1 species
UCCCAGACUCCUACGGGAGGCAGCAGUGAGGAAUAUUGGUCAAUGGUCGGGAGACUGAACCAGCCAGGCCGCGUGAGGGAGGAAGGUACAGAGUAUCGUAAACCUCUUUUGUCAGGGAACAAAGGCGGGGACGUGUCCCCGGAUGAGUGUACCUGAAGAAAAAGCAUCGGCUAACUCCGUGCCAGCAGCCGCGGUAAUACGGAGGAUGCGAGCGUUAUCCGGAUUUAUUGGGUUUAAAGGGUGCGCAGGCGGUCUGUUAAGCCAGCAGUCAAGGCCGGGGGCUCAACCCCGGCCCGCCGUCGAAACUGGCAGUCUCGAGUUGGAGAGAAGUAUGCGGAGUGCGCGGUGUAGCGGUGAAAUGCAUAGAUAUCGCGCAGAACUCCGAUUGCGAAGGCAGCAUGCCGGCUCCACACUGACGCUGAGGCACGAAAGCGUGGGUAUCGAACAGGAUUAGAUACCCGCGUAG